UGCAGGUUGCUAACCGCGCUCGUUAAGACGUUGCUAGAACCGACUAGUUAAUAUAGGGAGAGACGUAUUGUUGCCUUGUCACCGGCGCUGACCGCGUAAGACCCAAGGUUCGGUCAGUUGUUUUUGGUUAAGAGUACGGUAGGCCGUGCAUGCGUCAUACCAAAAAUCGGUAAUGUUCUCUUCUCAACAGCAACCCUGUCCGACAGAGUUCUUUUGGAUCUAAGGAUUUCUAGUUCCUCUUAGUUGCUUUCGGUUAAGCCCUUCUGCUUCUCUAUCCGACCCCUGAUCCUCGAGGUUAUCUC
rnacentral:lncRNA from 1 species